GGGCCCGUAGCUCAGUCUGGUUAGAGCACUCGAGCAAACCUUCCUGUAAGGUUUGAUCCAAUCCAGAGCUUACUGAAGCCGGAUGAAGUGGUGAAGCUCUUAACCGAGGUGUCGGGGGUUCGAAUCCCCUCGGGCCCG
rnacentral:tRNA from 1 species